AACGUAGGAGACAAACGUUAUCCGGAGUUACUGGGCGUAAAGGGCGUGCAGGCGGCAGUCUAAGUCUGGCGUGAAAGAUCCCGGCUUAACCGGGAAUGGUCGUCGGAUACUGGGCAGCUAGAGGGCGGUAGAGGCGUGUGGAAUUCCGGGAGUAGUGGUGAAAUGCGUAGAGAUCCGGAGGAACACCAGUGGCGAAGGCGACACGCUGGGCCGCACCUGACGCUAAGACGCGACAGCAUGGGGAGCAAACAGG
rnacentral:rRNA from 1 species